CCUACGGGUGGCAGCAGGGAGGAAUAUUGGUCAAUGGACGGAAGGCUGAACCAGCCAAGUCGCGUGAAGGAAGAAGGAUCGAUGGUUUGUAAACUUCUUUUAUAGGGGAAUAAAGGUAUCCACGUGUGGAUAUUUGCAUGUACCCUAUGAAUAAGCAUCGGCUAACUCCGUGCCAGCAGCCGCGGUAAUACGGAGGAUGCGAGCGUUAUCCGGAUUUAUUGGGUUUAAAGGGUGCGUAGGUUGUUUUUUAAGUCAGCGGUGAAAGUUUGUGGCUCAACCAUAAAAUUGCCGUUGAAACUGGCAGACUUGAGUGUGUUUGAGGUAGGCGGAAUGCGUGGUGUAGCGGUGCAAUGCAUAGAUAUCACGCAGAACUCCGAUUGCGAAGGCAGCUUACUAAGCCAUAACUGACACUGAAGCACGAAAGCGUGGGGAUCAAACAGGAUUAGAUACCCCUGUAGUC
rnacentral:rRNA from 1 species